GUUGUGCUUGUGUAUCUCCUGAUUGAAAUGAGGCCACUAAAGAUAAAUUGGGAGGAAGUUGGCGGGGGCAAUCUGAAGGGG
rnacentral:sRNA from 1 species